CUUGAUGAACGCUGGCGGCGUGCCUAACACAUGCAAGUCGAACGAAGCAAUUAAGAUGAAGUUUUCGGAUGGAAUCUUGAUUGACUGAGUGGCGGACGGGUGAGUAACGCGUGGAUAACCUGCCUCACACUGGGGGAUAACAGUUAGAAAUGACUGCUAAUACCGCAUAAGCGCACAGUGCCGCAUGGCAGUGUGUGAAAAACUCCGGUGGUGUGAGAUGGAUCCGCGUCUGAUUAGCCAGUUGGCGGGGUAACGGCCCACCAAAGCGACGAUCAGUAGCCGACCUGAGAGGGUGACCGGCCACAUUGGGACUGAGACACGGCCCAAACUCCUACGGGAGGCAGCAGUGGGGAAUAUUGCACAAUGGGCGAAAGCCUGAUGCAGCGACGCCGCGUGAGUGAAGAAGUAUUUCGGUAUGUAAAGCUCUAUCAGCAGGGAAGAAAAUGACGGUACCUGACUAAGAAGCCCCGGCUAACUACGUGCCAGCAGCCGCGGUAAUACGUAGGGGGCAAGCGUUAUCCGGAUUUACUGGGUGUAAAGGGAGCGUAGACGGCGAAGCAAGUCUGAAGUGAAAACCCAGGGCUCAACCCUGGGACUGCUUUGGAAACUGUUUUGCUAGAGUGCCGGAGAGGUAAGUGGAAUUCCUAGUGUAGCGGUGAAAUGCGUAGAUAUUAGGAGGAACACCAGUGGCGAAGGCGGCUUACUGGACGAUAACUGACGUUGAGGCUCGAAAGCGUGGGGAGCAAACAGGAUUAGAUACCCUGGUAGUCCACGCCCUAAACGAUGAAU
rnacentral:rRNA from 1 species